rnacentral:rRNA from 3 species
UACGUAGGGGGCGAGCGUUGUCCGAAGUUACUGGGCGUAAAGCGCGCGUAGGCGGGAAAUUAAGUGAGAAGUGAAAGGCUGGGGCUCAACCUCAUGCAGUGCUUCUCAUACUGGUUUUCUUGAGGGCGGUAGAGAAAAGUGGAAUGGCUGGUGUAGCGGUGAAAUGCGUAGAUAUCAGUCGGAACACCGGUGGCGAAGGCGGCUUUUUGGGCCGUUCCUGACGCUGAGGCGCGAAAGCCAGGGGAGCGAACGGG